GACAGAGGUGCCGAGCGUUAAUCGGAAUUACUGGGCGUAAAGCGUGCGCAGGCGGUUCGCUGUGUCCUGUGUGAAAGCCCCGGGCUUAACCUGGGAAUGGCAUGGGAAACUGGCGGGCUGGAGUGUGGCAGAGGGGGGUGGAAUUCCGCGUGUAGCAGUGAAAUGCGUAGAGAUGCGGAGGAACACCGAUGGCGAAGGCAGCCCCCUGGGCUAACACUGACGCUCAGGCACGAAAGCGUGGGGAGCAAACAGG
rnacentral:rRNA from 1 species